AAAAUCUUAAAAAAAAAAAAAAAAAGAAACUAAGGCCUGCCUCUAUGUACUACUCAGCUUUGCUGCAGUAAAAAAUGACUCCUUUAAGGAAGAAAAACUUUUCCUCUAUGUUCUGUACCGAAAGCCUGUGAAUUAGACUGAUGAAAACCAGGUUAACAGGGGAAAAACCCAGUUAAUUUACAUGUGUAACACAUAUAGACAUUGUGAGUACACAGUGAUGAGUAACACAAAGGGAUGGUCAGAAUUAAGGGUUUAUAUACCAUCUUAAUAGGUGGAAGAGAGGAAGAGAAAUGUACUUAGAGAAAAACAAAUGACUUUUGGGGAAGGUAAGUGGGUUUUCAGGAGAACAAAGAGGAGAUAAGAAAAUCUGUGAUGCUGUUUAUCCACAGAGGUUUAUCGUCUGUUUCCUUCGGAGCCACAGAUCUCCCCUGGAAAAGGGCUUUGGGAUAAGUUUUAUUUCUGUUCUCCCUUCCUGGAAGAGAUCUGCCCGAAAGGGGAGUUUGUGGCAGCCUCAUUUCCCAGAAGUUGCCACUUUUAGUUAGCUUCUUAUACCAACCUUAUGCCAAUCUUGUUAGCUUCUUAUAAUAAUUAUACCAACUUUAGGCUUUGGAGUCCAUUCUCACACCCCCAAAUCUGAGUAGCUUAUGGGAACAAAGAUUUAUUUCUCAACCAUGUCACACCUCAGCUGUAUAUUGCUAACAGCUCUCUUCCAUAUGUCUUCUUCAUUCCAGAAUCUGGUCUGAAAGAGCAGCCCCUACUGGGAACAUGCCAUUUUCCUGUGGCAGAAGGAAAGCAAAAGUGGCUGAGCCUUGCAGUGUCUCUGAGAGCUUCUAUUUGGAGGUGGUUGUUUGUCACUUCUGCUCAAAUCCAUUUGCCAAGGCAAGCCAUAUGGCCAUGCUGGCUAUCAGCGAGGCAACUAAAUCAUAUCCCUCCCACAGGGAGGUCACUACAAGUCACAAAGCAACAAAUAAGGGGCUAUUGCUGACCUUUGUUUCUUCAGUGAUUUUAUUUCUACUUGAUCUGUUGCACAUUAAAAAUGAAGGAUUACAGGUGCCUGGCUGGUUCAGUCAGAGGAGUAUGUGGUUCUGAUCUUGGGGUCAUGAGUUCAAGCCCCACAUUGGAUAUAGAGAUUAGUUAAAUAAAUAAAACUUUAAAGAAAAUGAAGGAUUAAGC
rnacentral:lncRNA from 1 species